CUGGAUUCCAAGAGAGCCGGCCCAGUGGAGGGCAGCGACGGGCCCUGCAGAUGACUGUCCCCGCGCGCUCCUGUCCCGCGCCCUGCACUGCUGACCUGCACGUGGAACGGGCCCCUGGGGCAGAGCCGGGGGUGACCUUCCCCUGAGUCUUCAGCUUGCCCAGGCCGCGGCCGCCGCCUGACUGUCCAGAACGAGGUCAGGUUGUGAUGGACAUCACUGUCCGCCCUGUGGCUCAGUCAUACCUGCUGCAGCCCAGCCCGAGGGAGGCGAAGCUCAGGUGUGGCCAAUCAGAGCCCAGGAUUCCGGGGGGCCACAGUGAUUGGCUGUGCGUGGCCCCCCGUGCCACCAAUGAGAGGCCUGGGAAAGCAUUUCUGAGCGGGUGGGUGCCGAGGCGGAGAGGCAGGACCCCUUAACCAGUUGGCCGACGGUAACAUCAGUGACGGCUGCUCCCCUGCCAGUGUUGAUCGUGGCCUCCUGGCCCGAGAAGUCCUGGGCCGUGAUCUCCGCGGUUCCUGCUCUUCUCAGACCUUCUCUCCCUGCCCCCCCAGAGCCAGAGCCCCUGGCACUCUCUGGAGCCCAGCCCGUCUGACCUUCUUCGCUCCCGGCACUGCCCGCGAUGUUCCCAGCUCCCCUUUCCUGCAUGCCUUGUUAGUGUCCCUCCCUCCUGCCCUUCCCCCUGUUCCAGGAGGCCCCACUUCAGGGCUGCCUUCCGGGACGGGACAGGAAACCCCAUUCACUGUCCCCAAUGCCACCCUGCCUGCCGGUCAGUGCCCUGAUCUCCACGGGCUGUGUCGGCGACCCUCGAGUGCAUGUCCCAGAAGCUGACUGUCCUUCGCAGCCCUGAUCAACUGUGCUCCUUGGACAGACACUCAGGGACCCAGAAGCGUGCGUGCCCGUGCAGGACGUGGGCUUCAGUGGGCUGGCACGGGGAGGGGGUGGGCUCCAUGCCCUGUGUGUACUUUCCACUUAACCCACACCUCGCAGGCCGCUGGCUUCGCAUUGGGAUCGGGGGCUGAGACAUGGAGGUUGAGUUCCAUUCUCUGAGUCAGUGGGGUCCAGCUGUGGGAGGGCCCCAAAUUAGUGGGGAGGGGGUCGCUGCCGGGCCCUACACAGAGAGGCCCAAGAGCCCUUUGCAUCUGUGGGUUUCGUGGUUGGAGAGGCUGGUGCACCCGCUGUGACUGACAAGAUUCCACCAUGGGACUUGGGCCUCAUGGGGCCUCAUGGGACCUGCACACAACCUCCCUGGAUUCUCCGGACACGGGCCCACCUCCCUGCACACGCCUUCCCCCUUCUCUGCUCCUCACACUGGUCAUCAGGGAGCGAAGGAGGAUGCCCCCAGCACUGCCUGUGUCGGGUUCUUUCAGCCCACGCCAGGACACCAGGACAGAGGCUGCACCCGCCCAGGCGGGCACGUGUGUUAGAAAGAUCCAUCUCGGGGUCUGCAUGCCAGAGCCCACACAGGUCCAAGGACGCCCUGUGCUGUCCCUGGAGAGCGGCCGGGCUGGGGGGGGGCAUCAAAGCAAGACUCGGGGUGGGGGCUGUCUGCGGGGCUCACUGGA